CAUGUCAGAGGAGACAACACUUAGAUGUGCAAAUAAUCUGCAAUUUAUCAAUUUGUGCAUGAGAUAUGACACAUUUAUGUUCAACAACAAAUUGUGUGUAAUUGUAACUUGUGAACUUUCCCUUAUGUUUCAGGUUAUUAUUUAUUGUUUCAUGUUUCAGUUGGUUCAAGUUUAAUCUCAGUAAGGCACGGUGGAGGAAAAGGUACAGAGAGGGUCUGUGAGUUGGACUGGUCUGACUGCAGUUUGUUAGAUGAUGCUGCAUAUACUUCAGGACUCUGGACACUGGAUAAGGACACGGGGUUGUUGCUGAUUUGAUGUCCCUCAGAAGUGUGGACAGCGCCACAGGCCUCAGGUGUCAGAGUGUACUGACCAGCUGCCCAGCUCUGAAGAGAUGAAGGAUCUGGUUUACAAUCUGUUUGGUUAUCAUCUGUAAGAACAUACAACAAAACCAAAUCACAC